rnacentral:lncRNA from 1 species
GGCCAUGGACCUCGGACUAGCCGGCUGCCACCCUUGAACACCACCGCUCCGGAGGCCGAGCUCCAAAUCUAGCCGAGUCGUGGCCUCCGCGCCGCACCAGAUCUAGUCCACCUUCACUUGCUUCAAGCUCGUCCAUGGCCGCCUCCGAAUCCGGUCGAGCUCGACUCUACGCCAGAUAUCGUCUGCCUUAAAAACGGUUCGAGCUCGGCGGCUCCUCCAUGACCGCCGAGAAGCCGCCGAGAUUUCGGUCACAACGUCGAGCUUCGCAGCCAUAGAAGGCCAUCACCUCCAGAUGUAGAGGCUCAAUGGCAAUGGAGGCCGAGCGUCCAGAUCUGGCCGUGGCGAAGGUCGUGACAUCACCUCGAGCUGCAGCAAUGACCGCCGUUAGAGGUCGCCUUAAGAGACGGCGUUAAAAGUUGCAGACGGCCAUGGACAGAGCGUGUAACAAGAAAGGAGACAAAAAAAAAAAUAGAAAAGAAAAGAAGCAAAGAAUGGUGGGGAACAAUAAGAAAAAGAAACAUCUUUUCCAACUUUUCAACAGCAUCAUCGGCAUGAGCCACGCCGACGACCAUGGACGGCCAGAUCUCGAGAGCCAACGGUGUCGCUGGCCAUGGCGGAGCAAGGUUCGUGUGUGAUGCCGACGGCCAUGGACGGCCAAAUUUGGAGAGCCAGCGGCGUCACUCGUCUAGGUGACGCCCAUGGCCAUGGUCGGCCAGAUCUGAAGAGCCAGCAGCGUCACCGACGCAUCAUCGGCCGUGGCAGCUCGUCCGAGGUCAAGUGGCUGGCUUUGGACGAACGAGGAAGAUGAAGCUAGAGGAAACAGUUCCACCACUCAAAGAAACUCCACAUCAAUAUUUUUUAAUUUAAUUCAAGACACGUAAUAAACUUUUUUAAGUGGAUAUCAAGGAAAAAAUGCUCGCCCCAUCAGCUGACGCGGGGCUGUGAAAUCACUUAAUAUUUUCCCCUUUCCUCACACAUCUACACACAUGGCACAUAAACUAGAAAACCAUCGGGCAGCAAUGGUAGGGAUGGUAAGUGGUAUCAUUACUGCAUUAGGUCGUUAAAUUUUUAUAAGGAG